rnacentral:rRNA from 1 species
GUGGGGAAUCUUCCACAAUGGGCGAAAGCCUGAUGGAGCAACGCCGCGUGAAGGAUGAAGGUCUUCGGAUUGUAAACUUCUUUUAUGAGUGAAGAAUAUGACGGUAACUCAUGAAUAAGCACCGGCUAACUACGUGCCAGCAGCCGCGGUCAUACGUAGGGUGCAAGCAUUAUCCGGAGUGACUGGGCGUAAAGAGUUGCGUAGGCGGUUAUGUAAGCGAAUAGUGAAACCUGGUGGCUCAACCACACAGACUAUUAUUCGAACUGCAUAACUCGAGAAUGGUAGAGGUAACUGGAAUUUCUUGUGUAGGAGUGAAAUCCGUAGAUAUAAGAAGGAACACCAAUGGCGUAGGCAGGUUACUGGGCCAUUUCUGACGCUAAGGCACGAAAGCGUGGGGAGCGAACCGGAUUAGAAACCCCGGUAGUCC